rnacentral:rRNA from 1 species
UACGUAGGGCGCAAGCGUUAUCCGGAAUUAUUGGGCGUAAAGAGCUCGUAGGCGGUUUGUCGCGUCUGCCGUGAAAGUCCGGGGCUCAACCCCGGAUCUGCGGUGGGUACGGGCAGACUAGAGUGAUGUAGGGGAGACUGGAAUUCCUGGUGUAGCGGUGAAAUGCGCAGAUAUCGGGAGGAACACCUGAGGCGAAGGCGGGCUACUGGGCCGAUACUGACGCUGAUGUGCGAAAGCCAGGGGAGCGAACGGG